CACGAGCAGCAGGCACCUGAUGAACUAGGCUAUAGGCUAAGAAAGCUCAAGCUACAAUAAAGCUACCACAGGACCAGGAAGAACUCCAAGGGGCAGCAAGACCUAGUGGGCACUCCUGCAAAAGAUUCCACGCUCACCCAUCAGACUGGAACUUUACAGCAAAGUGUCAGACAAUGCAGUCACAGAAGAGGAAACUAGCCUGGAAAACAGACUGGAAGGUUUGGCGUAAUCCAAAAAGGCAGUAUUUUCUAAGAGGCAUCUGGCCCAUUUUCUGAGGAAGUCUGAAAAUGUCAAGUAAGCUUUGUUAAUCAGAUACAUAUUAUCCAUUUGCAGAGGGAGAAUUCUGAAAAGAAAUUGUGAGAGAAGGAAGGAAGAAUACAAGCAGGAGUGCUUAAGAAUCUAGAUUCUGGGGAAGAAGAGUUUAUGAGGUGAUGGAGACAAGGAGAUCUGAAAGAGGGCAAAGACUGAGAGACUGAAAGGGUAAGAGAGAGCAACAGCUGCCUGCCGCCAAGCAACAUUCAUCUAGCAAUACGGCCAGCACCAGGAGACUGAGGCCUGAAAACUGCAGACAAGCCUGAGGGUCUGCUUCUUUACCCAUUUUUUGCAUUACAAAAUCUUGUGAGGCUGCUUCUUCUGGUUUGACUUGACUCAUGAACAACAACUUCCCGAGGAAAUUGUGGUUCAGUGUGUUUGUGUUUAGGGGUGUGUGUGUGUGUGAGAGAGAGAGAGAGAGAGAGAGGAACAAAUGUACAUAAUGUGUUCAAAUUGAUUUAGAAAUAUUAGUGUUUACAUGUUUAUAUUAUUUCACUCCCUCCAAACCAGUGUUCCCUGUAACAGAUUUGCUGAGGAUUUAACAGAUUCACAGAGGACAAUUCCCACCAUCCUCAGCUGCUGCUGAUGGGAGUUGUAGUCAACAAUAUUUGGGAAUCCCUGUAACAGGGAGCACUGUUCUGAACAGGGGUUGUGAGGGCAUGGCAAGAAACUGGGAGAAAUGGGGAAGAAACCCCUGUUUGGGGGUGUCCCCCCAUUUCAGGGGGGGGGUUCUAGGCCUUCACAUCUCUACCUUGAACUCAUUUCUGUGUUUUCUCUGAAGUGUGGGAGAAAUAUGAGGUUUACAUAAGUAUGUAUAAAAUUAUCUGAAUAGGGCUUCUAUCUUUGCCUUACUUCACCCUUCCCUCAACUUAACAGGAGCUAGACUUAAUACCCUUAUGUUUAAGUGAUAUAUUUCUAAAUAAGUAAGUACUAGAAAAAUUACUACUAAUUACUAAUACUAUUUCCAGCACACUCUCUCCACAACGAGGAUAACCGUGCCAUCAGAACUACCUACUGCUCAGGAACUGAGGAUCUGCAAAAUAGUAUUUCAGGUUUCAGAAUUAAGAUAAAAUGAUAGGCUGCUUAGAUAAAUUAAGAUAAAAUGAUAGGCCGCUUAGACAGGGGCAUACCAGAAUGGCUAGACCUAUAUAACCCUGGGCCUUUAUGAUGCACAAUAAUGGCAUCACAUCACUGUGACCUUGCUCUGACAUUGGAGGCAGCUCCACACAAAUAUUUAGGAUUGUGGAGACAGGACUGAAAGCUAUUCUCAAGCUGUGCUAGAUCAGUUCCGUCUAUUUCAGCUAGGCCUAAUGAUAUCAUUUUGGAGUAAGUCAUUUCUGGAUUGCAGCUGUAAUGGGCUGAAAAUGAGGCAUUUGAUGUUUUAAAUAAAUCUCUUCUGGAAAGGAAUACAGCGUCAGAGCAAAAUACUUUUAAAGGGAAAACUACACUUCUUCCAUAGAUUAUUUUUAAUGGCUGUCUGUCUGAAGAAAAUAAAGUUGAGAAACUAUUAGACACCAGUUAAAUUAAAUGAAAUUACACCGUUUGGCAUUCUGCCAUAAAGAAUCUGUACAUGCCAUUCAUGCAAAAUCAGCCUUGGGAGAAACAGAGCUCACACUGAGAUUCUCAUUUUUGUCUUCAACGUUCUUAAGCAGUUCCAUUAAAAUCAA